GUCUACGGCCAUGCCACCCUGAACAAGCCCAAUCCCGUCUGAUCUUGGAAGCUAAGCAGGGUCGGGCCUGAUUAGUACUUGAAUGAGAGACCACCUAGGAAGACCAGGUGCUGUAGGUG
rnacentral:rRNA from 1 species